rnacentral:rRNA from 1 species
AUUGAACGCUAGCGGGAUGCCUUACACAUGCAAGUCGAACGGAGUGGCGAACGGGUGAGUAAUGUAUCGGAACGUGCCCAGUAGCGGGGGAUAACUACGCGAAAGCGUAGCUAAUACCGCAUACUAGUGGACGGGCCGAUAUCGGAUUAGCUAGUUGGGGGGGUAGCGGCUCACCAAGGCGAAGGACCGUAGCUGGUUUGAGGGGACGACCAGCCACACUGGGACUGAGACAGGGCCCAGACUCCUACGGGAGGCAGCAGUGGGGAAUUUUGGACAAUGGGGGAAACCCUGAUCCAGCCAGCCCGCGUGUGCGAUGAAGUCCUUCGGGUUGUAAAGCACGUUUGGCAGGAAAGCGGUACCUGCAGAAUAAGCACCGGCUAACUACGUGCCAGCCGCCGCGGUAAUAC